rnacentral:rRNA from 1 species
AUUGAACGCUGGCGGCAGGCUUAACACAUGCAAGUCGAACGAGUGGCGGAGGGGGGUAUAAUGCUUGGGAAUCUAGGUUAGGGAGGGGUAUAACUAGGGGAAACUGGAGCUAACACCGUGUUCCAUAGGAUGCGCCCAAGUGGGAGUAGGUUAUUGGUGAGGUAAAGGCUCACCAAGGCGACGAUCUCUAGCUGGUCUGAGAGGAUGACCAGCCACACGGGGACUGAGACACGGCCCAGACUCCUACGGGAGGCAGCAGUGGGGAAUAUUGCGCAAUGGGCGCAAGCUGACGCAGCCAUGCCGCGUGAAUGAAGAAGGCCUUAGGGUUGUAAAGUACUUUCAGUAGGGAGGCGUUAACUACAGAAGAAGCACCGGCUAACUCCGUGCCAGCAGCCGCGGUAAUUC